CUGGAAGCGAUGCGGGAGCGAUAUGGAGGGGAGAGCGGUGCGGGAGCGCUGCGGGGGGAAGGUGACUUGGCCGCAUUUCCAGCAUUAAAAUUUAAAGCGAGUUGCAGCAUCCUCCUACGCCGUAGGUAGGGCCGGGGGGGGCCGGGGGCUGCGGGAGGAGGAGUUUGCGUGGCCGCCUCUUCCUCAGGGAUGCUCUGGGAAAGCUCCAGCACAAAGGAGCGGCGCGGCGGGCAGAAGCGAGCGGAGCCGGCGCCCCCCAGCCCCAACCCGGCCCCCGGGAGCAGAAUCCUCACCAAGAAUAGGGUUCCUGCCAGGUAAAUGGAUUCUUGCCUGAUUUUCAAUGCCCCUGGGAAGAAUUGUAGCCAAAAUGCUGGUUCACUGCUUUGUCUCCUAAUCCCCAUUUUCUCCUAAAGAUGGGGAUCCUGGGUGGGGAUUAGAGGCGAGGCUGGGGCCAACACUCCUGGGGCACAGCACAGCCCCUCCUUCAGAGUUAACCUGCCAGAUGCUCCUCUCUCGGAGCCAUUUUCUCUCCCUCAUUGUCUCGCAGCCUUUUGUGUGUGUGAGUAGGUCCUGCCCAGGGCCCCAGGAGGAGCCCAGAAAUAAUCAGGUUUUCUGGUGUUCUGGGUUUUCAGGGAGCCUUUCACACCCUCACCCUCCCUUCUCCCAGGCUGCCCAGCCUCAGAGCUGUAGACAAAGGUGGUAGUGCCUGGCACUGCUGCAGCAGCAGCAAGGGAGCCUGGGAUGUGCCAGAGCCUGGGCUCUGCUGGAUGGCAGCAAGGGUCAGGCAGUGCUGGCAGGGCCCAGGGCAAAGGUAUUUGGCCACCCUGCUGGGAGCUGGGGGACUGGGGUGCCCAGAUGCCACAUCCCAGAGAUCAUCUCUCUGGGCACAGGCAGCUCAUGGCAAUGCCGUGCCUGCUGUGGCCUUAUUUCCCUGCUCCUGCCUGCUGUGGAGCCUGUGCUCCUGUCCCACCCUCCUCACUCCGGGGGGGGUCUAGCCCCUGUUUAAUCCAGGUGCUCAGCAGCACCAUAUGUGCCACCCACCCUGUGUGGCAGAGGAAGCUCUGGCUCGUGGCUGGCAAUCACUGCUCACUCUGCCCCAGACAGAGUGUUUAGCUGAGCCCUGCCUGCACAAAAUUGUUUUCCCUCCCUGUCUCCUGGGAUGUGUUUCAUUGCCGGGUGAGAGAGGCCAUCCCACAGCCAUCAUGGUCCGCCUGACCCACCACAGGCACCUCCCGCUCUGAUCCCACCUCCCGUUCAGAUCCAGGCAGGGGAUCCAUUUGCCAGAUGCUCGAUGGCAUCUCCGGAGCUCAUUCCCGCAGCUGGGUUGCAAAUGCUGCCUGGACAUGCUGUCCCCAUGGGAGGGACCGUCCUGCCAGCAGUGCCUGCGGCAUGUGGUGACAAUGAACCGCAGGAAGCAGGAGCAGCUCCACAGCUGAACAUGCAGAGUCAUCACGGCCCAGCUCCCCCAGGACCUGCUGCAGUCCUGGCUUUUCCAGGCGGGCAGGGCAGGAGCAGAAUCAGGGCAGCAGCAGGAGCAAGGCAGCAGCAGGAGAAAGGCAGGAGCAGGAGCAGGGCAGGAGCAGGAGCAGAAGCAGAGCAGGAGCAGGAACCAGAGCAGGUCAGAAACAGGAGCAGGGCAGAAGCAGGAACAGGGCAGAAGCAGGAACAGGGCAGGCAGCAGACAUGGGCUGGCUGCUGGCACCAGCCAUGUGUCCCUGUAUCCCUGUGGAGGUGGAGUAGCACCCACCACAGCGCAGUUGUGACUGCCGGCUGCCCCAGUACAACUGGUGCCUGCGGAACCACAGGGUCCCAGUGACCCAGCUUAACCACAGGGCAGGAGCAGAGCUGGCAGAGGCAGCAGUAGCAGUGGCAGUGGAAGUCAGUCCCUGCCCUCAGUGCAGGGGUUCCCACACCAGGUAGGGACAGUUUGGGGCAUUGCCACCAUUUCUGAUGUGGUGGUUCCUGGUGCCCCCCUGUGCCUGGUGGUGGGUCUAGCUCCCUGCUCUGCAAGGGGAAAGGGACAGGAGGAUCCCUGCCCAGCCCUCCUGCCAGGCUCCUGCCAGCUUGGCUCGGCUCUGCCUGAGGAUGGUGCCGUGUGUCUCUCCCUUGCUGCGUUGGUUGUUUCUUUUGCAGCUGCUAAUGACUGACCUGAAGUCUGUUCACACAGUCCCCUCGCGGCCUCCACAGCGCAGAGCCACACAGGAUGGGGGGACAUUGCACGGCACUUGCAUAGCUGGUGACCACAGUGCCACCAUCCCAGAGACACGGCCUCAGCUCCUGCCUGGCCAGACCAGCUGUGCCUGGAGAGGAGCCAGGCUCGCGGAGCCGAUGUCACCACCUGCACACAAUGCCAGAGACGGGCUGGCCCCAGCAGAGCAGCCUGGUGCUCAGUGCCAUGGGCCAGAGCCACGAGCCCGGCCACUGCGGGGGACACAGCCGAGGACACGGCGCUGGGGACACCUGAGGACACGGGUCUGCAUGUGCUCGCGGUUUUCCUGCAAGGUGCUGGGGUUCCCUUCCCUUCCGCUGCUCCAUCCCAGCCAUGGGCAGGAUGAGACCCAUCCCCUUCCCUGAACCCAGUGUAGGGAGAGGGAGAAGGGGAGGCAACAGGGAUGGAGCUGUGCCAGCUCCUCAAUGAGACACAAUGGCCAGAGCACAAAGGGACUCUGGUUGUCCCCACUGAUCCUGCCCGUCCCUCUGUCUGUUGGUGAAGUCCUGCUGCUUUCUGCCCUGGAACUGCCUUGCACUUCUAGUGCCAUGUUCUCCCUUGCCCUGUCUCCCUUGCCCUGUGGAGCAGCCUGGAGUGUGUGGAGGGUCAUGGGCAGUGAAUCCUCCUCCCAUGACCUCUGUGGGGGUGGCAGUGGCCCAGUAAGUGGUUGGGCUGUGGCCGCACCAAGCAGUCACUCCGGCUCCUGUCUCUGCACAGGAGGGAGAGCUGGGAAUGAGGUGGGCUGGUGGCUGAGGGCAGACACAGCUUGUGGCAGGUGUUAGAGCCUUGAAGUCCAAGCUGGAAAGGCAUCCUCUUGGGGACCAGCAGGAGUUAGUGCUGCAGGAGGAGGUAACCCAGAGGAACAUGGGACAGAGGGUGCCCUGGGUGCCCCACAACAGCCCUGUUUCUCAGGGCACAGUGCUCUUACUGCCCUCAGAGCACUGCUUAGCUCCAUGGAGAGGUAGCUUCUGACAGGGAAGGGGUAAGCUAUGGGCCACUUUUCCUCUGCUCCAUGGCAUGGUUUUCCCUGCUGAAUCUCUUCCUCCCUUCACAGGCAAUGGGAGCUCAGUGGAGACCUAGAGCAGCUCUCUGCAGAAGCCCUGCUCUUGCAGAGCUGCCCGUAGCCUUGCCCCAGGCAUGGUCAGUGAUGCUUUCACCCCUUCCCUCUCUGCUUCUUCCAGCUCCUUUAGUGCCCUGACCUGAGUCACUGCCUUGCGCUGCUGGGACUGUCUCUUCUAUGCAUCCAGUCUCCCACCCUCACCAGUACUAGGAGUGGGAAGCACACUCUGUGUGAGGACACACUGCUCCGGGCAUUUGGUACCUCACUGGCCUGGAUGAGAGGGGCAGAUCCUUGCAAAGCAUUUAACUCAGAAACAGGUUACAUUACGCAGGUUAAGCCCUCCAAUAACACCUUCCCAAAUCUCGAUGUGGUAGCAACGCCCCAAAACGCCUCCUGCUCUUGUGAGCCAGAGCCCUGCUGCUCACUGGGCCUGGCUCUGCAUGCUGCCGCUGCGCUCUGACAUUAACCUACUAACCCGCUGGGACCCUGUGCCCUCACCAGGGGCUGGCACAGCCCCUGGCACACGGACUAACCCACUAACUGGCCCCAGUGCAUGCCCUACUAACCCACAGCCAGCCCUGCCUCACACUCACUAACUGUGGCAGCAGUGCUGCCUUUAAAGGGGAACGGAAAAGCUGGGAAAGGAGGUUUGGAAGUGCCAGGUGUCAGUGCCAGGCUGUACAGGCAGGGACGGGCAAGGGCAGCCCCAGCUGUGGGCAGGAGAGGGGAUUGGCAGCCCCUGCCCAGCAUUGGGCCGUGUCCGUCAAGCUCUGCCUAUACAGGCAGCCCCAGCCCCAGCUGUGAGCAGGAGGGAGGACUGGCAGCCCCUGCCCAUGCAAGCAGCCCCUGUUCUGGGCAGGAGAGGGGACCAACAGUCCCUGCCCCAGGCAGGAGAGGGAACCAGCAGCCCCUGCCCUGGGCAGCCCUUGCCAGCACGAGGAGAGGGUUUCUCCUCGCACGCCCUGCCCGGCUCUGCCCGUGAGCCUGUUGCUGACUAGGAGCCUAAAACGGUUUUAUCAGCAGAAGCUUUUCAGUUCCUUUUUAAGCCAGUAGAUCUCUGUUACUAACACAUUCCUGAACUGAAUUAAACAAACUAACCAUUGCUGCUUUUCUCUUCAUUUCUCUUCCAGUGUGUGUGUCCUAAGGCAGACCGGUGCCCUGCUUCUGUUACUAACCUGUACUUCUGUUAGCACUGUACUAAUCCUUCCUGACCUGUUUCCCUCUUGCUACUAACCAACUCUCUUUGCACUUUGCCUCUCGGAUGCUAUUUGCCAUGACAAGUGACGGUGGCUCCUCCUGGACUUCUGGUUAUCAACCUGCAGCACCCCAAUUUUCAGUGCUGCUGAGCAUCCCUGGCUCCCAUUCGGUGCAAUGGGAAGGAAGAUGCCUUUACUGGAGGGUUUUGGAAAUUUCCCCAUUUGCCUUCUGUUUUCCGAGAAAUUUCAUGUGGCGCAAUGAGGAAAAGAGGCUGAGAGGCAAUAGGACAAUACAAAACCAUUAAUAAUGACCAGUAAUGGCUGUAAAGAUCCAGCAAACCCAGAGAGAUUCAGCCACAGAGUGAUGCUAUUGCCCAUGAGCCCCACCAGAGCCUGAGUUUGGGCCUCUCCUGGGGCCCCACGUCACCCGUCAUGGGGAAUGGUCUUGUGCUGCUCCGUGAAUUGGCUCGCGGACACUCCCGGGCUCCUCUCUUCACUCCCUUUGUCUUUCCACAGUUUAUCUUGUGCCUGGUGCAUGUGGAAGCUGUUGCCAGCAGCGUGGGCGUGACUAACCAUACCUGUGUGUGACCGCUGGGCUGGUAAUGAGCCGAGGGCAGGAGGGGGCAGUGGGUGUCAGAGGGGGCUCUGCCAUCAGGCUGUGAUGGAGGCACAGCCUGGGCUUUGCUUUCUGUUUGUCUGUCAGUUGGAAGAACGUUCCCGGCCUCUCAGGGGUCCUGCCAAGGUGAAGUCUCCAGGACCUGGCCCAACAGUGUAGGUUUGGACAUGGGCUGGUGACCCAGGGCCAGGCACCACCACUGCCAUGUUCAGGACUGCCAUGACCAGUGGGGCAAAGCCAAGCCCUGUGUGCCAGCAGAGGAUGGUGGCCCUGUGCUGCUGGUGGGCAUGGGCUGGCUCAUGAGGACACCCCAGACUGUCGCUGCUGUGGGGACACAGCAGUGUGGGGCUGCCCCCACCAAGGAUCAGGGCAGCUCUGUCUGGGGGUUACAGAUCCAGGCAGCAUCCAGCUCUGGCUGCUCUUUCUUGGCUUUGCCUUAUGCUCACUAACCCCGUGGUCUCCCCAGUCACUGUCACUGGCUGGUGUCACCAUCACCCCACAGCAGCUCCUGCCUUCAAUGAAAGGCAGAACCAGAGUGGGGUCCCCCUGGAUGGCUGGGUCCACCCCCUAAUGCUGCCACUGCUCCUGGGCAUCCCAGCUCUGCGCUGACCCAAGCCUGCUCCUUCAGUUGGGGUGUCACUGGGCUCUCAGGCUGAUGGGGGUCCCCUCCUCACCCAGCUCCGUGUCUGUCCAACCUCCACCUUAUUUCACUAACCAUAUGCCUACCCUUCCUCCACACAGCUGGCACCAGGGUGGGUUUUUGGGCUGAUGCUCCUAUGUUUGAUGGAAGGGGGACACAGGGCCCUGCUGUGGGCUGGGGGCAGAGGAGGAAGCAGGGGUGCAGGGACAGGAAUGGGCUAGGAGGGCAAGCCAGGUUGGGCACAGGGUGGGCAGGUUCACGGCUCCUGCACAGGUAGGAGCACCACCAGCACUGGGCUGGGGUUGUCAGAGCCCACCAUUGUGAGGGACUCUCCUCCCUGCCCCACAACCCUUCUUUCUGCUCCAGAGCAGCCCUCCUGCACCCAGGGGGACCUCCCCAGGCUGGUCACUGAGGGGAGUCAUGGGACCACAAGUCACCCUGAUAGCCAAGAGGAUGCACUGGACAAAUGUGGCCCUCCAGGGGCAGCCAGUGUUGCCCACAGACCGCUCAGUGGGGACAGACCACCAGUGCCUUUGGGUAGCUGCUCCCGUUGCAGAGCCACCAUUGCUGAGCUGAGCAGGCCUAGAGGGCAGGGAGGCUUCCCCAAACAGCCUGGUUGCUCCUUUCCUCUGCUUCAGCACCUUGGGGCUCCCUGUCCCUGCUCCCCAAUUCCUGCAGCUGGCAGAGGAGUUGGUCAGUCUGUCUGUCUGUUUCUCCCACUUUGCUGGUGCAGGGAGGAGUGGGGCUGGGGCACCCCAACAGCAACAUGGGCAGAGGUCAGAAGGUGUCAGCCCUGGGUGCACCAUCUUGCCCAGGGUGCUCCAGACCAAGCUGGCCAGGGCUGCCCCUGCUCUGCAGGACCCCGCACUCACCCCACGUCAGCACGGUGGGAGCGGGCACAGCCACGGUGGGACUGGACUGGACACUGGAGUGGGGCGUGGGGAUGCUCUGGGGCAGGGAGUCCUGGGGUGGCCUCAGCGGUGUGAGCAGGAAUCCCGCAGGUCACCACGGCCCCGAGGAUGAACCCACAGCCCCGAGGAUGUCCCUGCUGCCUGUAAUGUCUACUGUGAACAUGGCAAGUGUGCAACCAC